rnacentral:rRNA from 1 species
UCGACGGCAGCACGGGAGCAAUCCUGGUGGCGAGUGGCGAACGGGUGAGUAAUGUAUCGGAACGUACCUUUCAGUGGGGGAUAACGUAGCGAAAGUUACGCUAAUACCGCAUAUUCUGUGAGCAGGAAAGCAGGGGAUCGCAAGACCUUGCGCUGAUUGAGCGGCCGAUAUCAGAUUAGCUAGUUGGUGAGGUAAAGGCUCACCAAGGCGACGAUCUGUAGCGGGUCUGAGAGGAUGAUCCGCCACACUGGAACUGAGACACGGUCCAGACUCCUACGGGAGGCAGCAGUGGGGAAUUUUGGACAAUGGGCGCAAGCCUGAUCCAGCCAUGCCGCGUGAGUGAAGAAGGCCUUCGGGUUGUAAAGCUCUUUCAGCCGGGAAGAAAACGCAUGGGUUAAUACCCUGUGUGGAUGACGGUACCGGAAUAAGAAGCACCGGCUAACUACGUGCCAGCAGCCGCGGUAAUACGUAGGGUGCGAGCGUUAAUCGGAAUUACUGGGCGUAAAGCGUGCGCAGGCGGUUUGUUAAGAUAGGCGUGAAAUCCCCGGGCUCAACCUGGGAACUGCGUUUAUGACUGGCAGGCUAGAGUAUGGCAGAGGGGGGUGGAAUUCCACGUGUAGCAGUGAAAUGCGUAGAGAUGUGGAGGAACACCGAUGGCGAAGGCAGCCCCCUGGGCCAAUACUGACGCUCAUGCACGAAAGCGUGGGUAGCAAACAGGAUUAGAUACCCUGGUAGUCCACGCCCUAAACGAUGUCAACUA